AUUGAACGCUGGCGGCAUGCCUUACACAUGCAAGUCGAACGGCAGCACGGGAGCAAUCCUGGUGGCGAGUGGCGAACGGGUGAGUAAUAUAUCGGAACGUGCCCAGUCUGGGGGAUAACGUAGCGAAAGCUACGCUAAUACCGCAUACGAUCUAUGGAUGAAAGCGGGGGAUCGCAAGACCUCGCGCGAUUGGAGCGGCCGAUAUCAGAUUAGUAGUUGGUGAGGUAAAGGCUCACCAAGCGACGANCUGUAGCUGGUCUGAGAGGACGACCAGCCACACUGGGACUGAGACACGGCCCAGACUCCUACGGAGGGCAGCAGUGGGGAAUUUUGGACAAUGGGCGCAAGCCUGAUCCAGCAAUGCCG
rnacentral:rRNA from 1 species